GACAGAGGGUGCAAACGUUGUUCGGAAUUACUGGGCGUAAAGCGCGUGUAUGCGGCUCGGCAAGUCGGGUGUGAAAGCCCUGGGCUUAACCUAGGAAGUGCACUCGAAACUGCCAAGCUUGAGUUCUGGAGAGGAAGACGGAAUUCUCGGUGUAGAGGUGAAAUUCGUAGAUAUCGAGAGGAACACCGGUGGCGAAGGCGGCCUUCUGGACAGCAACUGACGCUGAGACGCGAAAGCGUGGGGAGCAAACAGG
rnacentral:rRNA from 1 species